UCUAUGUUCUUUUGCUACAUAUUGGUAUAAAAUUCAAGUAUUUGUCAAAUUAUUAAGUCAAACCAGAGUACUAUGAAAUUUGUAUAUUGACAUAAUAGUUUUGAAAAAUACUAGCAGUAGGAGUAGAAGUUUUAUGUUUUUGCUUUAGUUAUAAAAUACUGUCUUUUAACAUCUAGAGUCCUAAUACAGUAAUGCAGUGAUACACUGGCUUUUAUAGUCAUGUUUCAUUCAACGAAUUUGCUAUAUUCUCAUCUUCUCAUCUGUAGAGAAGCAGUGUGAGUGGUGUGGCAAGAGUAGCAGAUAGCUUGGGUCCAAAUUCUCUCUUUGCCACACCAAUCAUACCAAAUUGAGCUUAACUUGUUUAGUUUUUCUGAAACUCAGGCCUUUUGCUUUUUGUUAUUUUGAGACUCAGUUUUAUCUACUAUAAAAUAAUAAUUAGGUCAUAGUGAUGGCUGUGUAUACCACACCAAAAAAACCCCUGAGGAUCAACUAAGAUAGUGAGCAAAGAAAUACUUUUUAAGCUGUACAGUAAUAUAAAAAUGUCAGUAAUUGGGAGUCGGGCUGUAGCGCAGCGGGUUAAGCGCAGGUGGCGCAAAGCACAAGGACCGGCAUAAGGAUACCGGUUCGAACCCUGGCUCCCCACCUGCAGGGAAGUCGCUUCACAGGCGGUGAAGCAGGUCUGCAGGUGUCUAUCUUUCUCUCUUCCUCUCUGUCUUCCCCUCCUCUCACCAUUUCUCUCUGUCCUAUCCAACAACGAUGACAACAACAAUAAUAACGACAACAAUAAAACAACAAGGGCAACAAAAGGGAAUAAAUAAAUAAAAUAAAAUAUUUUUAAAAAUGUAAAAAAAAUGUCAGGAAUUACUGUAUUUUUACUUUUCUUUAAAUAUCUGGGGGAAAUAGAGGAAGUGAAAUUAAUAUAUUAUAAUCCUUUCUUUCAUAAGGAUUAAUAUUUUAUUUAUUAUCUUUGAUAGAGACAAGAAGAUAGAAAAGGAGAGAGACACCUGCAGCACUGCUUCACAGCUUGUGAAGUCUGCCCCCCUGCAGGUGGGAACUGGGGACAUGAACCUAGGUCUUUGCACACUAUAAUGUGUGUGCUCAACCCAGUGUGCCACUGCCUGGCCCCGUUAGAAGGAUAAAUGAACAGAUUGGAAAGAUGUCUGCCAAGGUCUUCUAUAACUCUAGCAUAAUUUUUCUGAAGCUAUUGGUACAACAAAUGGGAUUUGCCUCAAGCAUAAUCACUUGAAUUUGCUUUCUUAAUGUCAAGAUCAGUAGUUUUCUCCCUUAGACUGAGACUCUUUAUCAUCUCAUAGAAUAAUCUUAAAGAUUCUUUGUUGAUCUGGGUAAGAUAUAAACUCAAAAAAAUUCAUUUUUUUCUUCAUUUGGCGCUGUGGUGUGUCUCCUCUGUUUUUACAGUAAAGAAACACAAACAAACACAACAAAAGAUUACAAUAGGAGCAGUAAGACCAUACAGAUGAGACAAAAGCAGAGAGAUUAAAUGUUUAACAACUGUUUUACAAACAGAUUUACAACUGGAAAGUGGCAGAACCAAGAUUUAGAAACAGGUAAACUUGAUUUCAGAAUUUGUUUUUCUUUUUUUAAAUUUUUUUAAAAUUAAUUUAUUCCCUUUUGUUGCCCUUGUUGUUUUAUUGUUGUAGUUACUAUUGAUGUUGUUGUUGGAUAGGACAGAGAGAAAUGAAGAGAGGAAGGGAAGACAGAGAGGGGGAGAGAAAGACACCUAUAGACCUGCUUCACCACCUGUGAAGCGAUUCCCCUGCAGGUGGGGAGCUGGGGGCUGGCACCUGGAUCUUUACUCUGGUCCCUGCGUUUUGCACCACGUGUACUUUACCCGCUGUGCUACUGCCUGACUCCCCAGAAUUUGUGUUUCUAGCCACUGAACAGACCCCAAGCUUUGAGGACAUACUCCUCAAGCUAUGCAACAAGCUAUGAAGAGGAAGAGGACAGCCUUUAAAACUUAGUAUUCCAUUGUUAAUUUUACUUUUUUUUUUUUUUUUGCCACUGGUGUUAUCACUGGGGUACAGUGCUAUGACUCCACCAUUCUUGGAAGCCAUUUUUUCCUUUUCUUCUAGUUAGAUGAUGAUGACAGUGAGAGAAAGAGAAAGACAGUGAGAGACAAACUGCAGCAUUACUCCCACUGCUCCACGAUUUGUGAAACCUUAUCCUUGCAGGGUCUCUGCCAUGUGGCUUCCCAGGGGCUUGAACUGGGUCCUCAUGCAUAGUGACAAGUCUGCUUUAUCCAAGCAAUCAGUGCCAUAAACUGAAGAAACAUCUUUUAAAAUGCAAAGUACUUCAUGAAAAGUUGAUACCUGAUUCAAAGAUUGUACAUAGAAUUGGGUUUGGAUUGUCAUGAGACAGUUUAUUGUGGAGACAUAACCUAGGAUUUCUUUUAUCAAAACAUUGAAAUGAAAUUGUUCUGAUAAUUCAUGGAUAAAAUUUUUGAUCUUCAUCCUGGACAUUCAAAGAUUCCCAUUGACUUUUGUAAAAGGGUUAUUGCUGGGACUCAAUGGCUACACUACAAAUCCAUUGUUCCUGGAGGCCACCUUUUCCCCUUUGUAGCCCUUGUUGUUCAUUGUUGUUGUUGCUAUUAUUAUUGUUGUUGCUGAAGUCGAGGGAGGAAAGGAAGACAGGGAGAGAAAGAUAGACACCUGCAUACUUGCUUCACUGCUUACAAAGUGACCCCUACAGGUGGGGAACCGAGGGCUGGAACUGGGAUCCUUAUGCAAGUCCUUGUGCUUCGCGCUACUCGUCUGGCCCCUGAUAAUUCUAUUCUUUUUUUUUUAAAUUAGAUUUCUUUUUAUUUAUUCCCUUUUCGUUGCACUUGUUGUUUUAUUGUUGUAGUUAUUAUUGUUGUUAUUGAUGUCGUUGAUAGGACAGAGAAAUGGAGAGAGGAGGGGAAGACAGAGGGGGAGAGAAAGACACCUGUAGACCUGCUUCACCACUUGUGAAGCAACUCCCCUGUAGGUGGGGAGCUGGGGACUCGAACAGGGAUGAUUCUUAUGCCAUUCCUUGUGAUUUGAACCACCUGUGCUUUACUGUGCUACAGUUCGACUCCCGAUAAUUCUAUUCUUAAUUAACUAUAUGAACUGAGAUCUGUAAGCCAGGAAGCACUUUUAAAGAAAACUUUAUUUGCUGUCAGGUUUUUGCUGGGACUUCAUGCCUGCACAAUUCCACUGCUCUGAGUAGGCUUUUAAAGAUAGGAGGUGAGAGAUAAGAAAGGAAAGAUUUCACGGUACUGUUCUAUCACUUAUGAAGUUUCCCCUUUGCCUUGUACCUAUGUGGUGGCAACGAGUUUGAAUCUGGCUUCUUGUGUAUAGUGUGCCCUACUGGGUGAGCUACCUCCUGGUAUUUAUUUAUUUACUCAUUUAUUUUUAAGAGAGGGAAACAGACAUACAAGAUCACUGGCUGGCUAGCUCUGGCUUAUUUAGUAUUAGGGACUGAACCUGGCAUCUCUGGGACCUCAAACAUGAAAGACCUAUAUUCUUUUUUUUUUUUUUUUUUCCUCCUCCAGGGUUAUUGCUGGGCUCGGUGCCUGCACCAUGAAUCCACCGCUCCUGGAGGGCAUUUUUCCCCCCUUUUGUUGCCCUUGUUGUAGCUUCGUUGUGGUUAUUAUUAUUGCCCUUGUUGACACAAUUCGUUGUCGGAUAGGACAGAGAGAAAUGGAGAGAGGAGGGGAAGACAGAGAGAGAGGGGAGAGAAAGACAGACACCUGCAGACCUGCUUCACCGCCUGUGAAGCGACUCCCCUGCAGGUGGGGAGCCGGGGGCUCGAACCGGUAUCCUUAUGCCGGUCCCUGCGCUUUGCGCCACAUGCGCUUAACCCACUGCGCCACCGCCCGACCCCCAAGACC